rnacentral:rRNA from 1 species
CACGUAGGGCGCAAGCGUUGUCCGGAAUUAUUGGGCGUAAAGAGCUCGUAGGCGGUCUGUUGCGUCCGCUGUGAAAACUCGGGGCUUAACCCCGAGCCUGCAGUGGAUACGGGCAGACUAGAGGUAGGUAGGGGAGAAUGGAAUUCCCGGUGUAGCGGUGAAAUGCGCAGAUAUCGGGAGGAACACCGGUAGCGAAGGCGGUUCUCUGGGCCUUACCUGACGCUGAGGAGCGAAAGCGUGGGGAGCGAACAGG